rnacentral:rRNA from 1 species
UACGUAGGGUGCGAGCGUUAACCGGAAUUACUGGGCGUAAAGCGUGCGCAGGCGGUUCGUUAAGUCAGAUGUGAAAGCCCCGGGCUCAACCUGGGAAUGGCAUUUGAAACUGGCUGGCUCGAGACCGGGAGAGGUGAGUGGAAUUCCCAGUGUAGCGGUGAAAUGCGUAGAUAUUGGGAGGAACACCAGUGGCGAAGGCGGCUCAUUGGACCGGAACUGACGCUGAGGCGCGAAAGCGUGGGGAGCAAACAGG